UAUGGUGAAGCAUAUCUUCCCUUUGGCUUCACCUGCACAAGUGCCGAGCAUCCCACUUGAUCCUUGACCUGGGCAUGCUUGAAAGACUUACUUGAGCCGACAUAAAGCUCCUUCCCGCCAGUAUUCCGAAGUAAGAUGCAACUUGUCCUGGUGAAAGUUGUACCAGCAGGGGUGGCAGCCGGGAGGUAAGCCACACCUGUACGUCCUCAUCA